rnacentral:rRNA from 1 species
AGUCACUGACAUUAGAUACCCCUGUAGUCCAGGGUGUAAACGCUGCAGACUUGGUGUUGGUAGGCCCUUUGGGGGCAUUCAGUGCCGGAGAGAAGUUGUUAAGUCUGCUACUUGGGGAGUACGUCCGCAAGGAUGAAACUUAAAGGAAUUGGCGGGGGAGCACCGCAACGGGAGGAGCGUGCGGUUUAAUUGGAUUCAACACCGUAAACUCACCAGGGAAGACUGUUACAUGAAGGCCGAGAUGAAGACUCUGCUAGAUUUUCAG